rnacentral:lncRNA from 1 species
CGGGCAUACUCCGACACUGUCAUAUUUCCCUAGACCAAUUGAGCAAAUUCCAUUUCCUUUAGAUGUUGGAUGUGUUUAGGGAGAUACUCCGCAUGGAAGGCCGCUAGGAACUGCUCCCAAGUAACUAGUGCAGGCAGGGUGGCCCGCUUGAGCUCCCACCAGCGUACUGCUUCCCCUACCAGCAUGUAGGAGGCAAUGACAGCCCUCUGCUCAGGAACUACUCCCAAGGUCUCGAAAGCUCUCUCAGUCUCUGCCAGCCAGUAUUGGGCCUCUUCGAAAGAGGAUCCCCCUGAAAAAGUAGAAGGGUUCAGUCUUCUGUACCUCUCUAUGAAACCGGGGUCGAUCAAGGAAGGAGCGGGGUCCCGAGGUAGAGGGACUGGGGCCGGCGGAGGGUGAACUGGGGGACCCUAUGGUGGCGCCUGCUGAUGUGGUGGGGGCACUGGAAUGUGCUGUGGCGGCACCUGUUGGUACUGUGGCUGUGGUACCG